rnacentral:misc_RNA from 1 species
GAUGAAGAACGCAGCGAAAUGCGAUAAGUAAUGUGAAUUGCAGAAUUCAGUGAAUCAUCGAAUCUUUGAACGCACAUUGCGCCCGCCAGUAUACUGGCGGGCAUGCCUGUCCGAGCGUCAUUUCAACCCUCGAACCCCUCCGGGGGGUCGGCGUUGGGGACCUCGGGAGCCCCUAAGACGGGAUCCCGGCCCCGAAAUACAGUGGCGGUCUCGCCGCAGCCUCUCCUGCGCAGUAGUUUGCACAACUCGCACCGGGAGCGCGGCGCGUCCACGUCCGUAAAACACCCAACUUCUGAAAUGUUGACCUCGGAUCAGGUAGGAAUACCCGCUGAACUUAAGCAUAUCAAUAAGCGGAGGA